rnacentral:rRNA from 1 species
UACGGAGGGUGCAAGCGUUAUCCGGAUUCACUGGGUUUAAAGGGUGCGUAGGCGGGUUGGGAAGUCAGUGGUGAAAUCUUCAAGCUUAACUUGGAAACUGCCGUUGAUACUAUCAAUCUUGAAUGUUGUGGAGGUAAGCGGAAUAUGUCAUGUAGCGGUGAAAUGCUUAGAUAUGACAUAGAACACCGAUAGCGAAGGCAGCUUGCUACACAAUAAUUGACGCUGAGGCACGAAAGCGUGGGGAUCAAACAGG